CCUACGGGGGGCUGCAGUGGGGAAUAUUGGACAAUGGGGGCAACCCUGAUCCAGCCAUGUCGCGUGUGUGAAGAAGGCCCUCGGGUUGUAAAGCACUUUCAGUGAGGAAGAACGCCUGGUGGUUAAUACCCAUCAGGAAAGACAUCACUCACAGAAGAAGCACCGGCUAACUCCGUGCCAGCAGCCGCGGUAAUACGGAGGGUGCGAGCGUUAAUCGGAAUUACUGGGCGUAAAGCGCGCGUAGGUGGCUUGAUAAGCCGGUUGUGAAAGCCCCGGGCUCAACCUGGGAACGGCAUCCGGAACUGUCAAGCUAGAGUGCAGGAGAGGAAGGUAGAAUUCCCGGUGUAGCGGUGAAAUGCGUAGAGAUCGGGAGGAAUACCAGUGGCGAAGGCGGCCUUCUGGACUGACACUGACACUGAGGUGCGAAAGCGUGGGUAGCAAACAGGAUUAGAUACCCUGGUAGUC
rnacentral:rRNA from 1 species